rnacentral:tRNA from 1 species
GCUAGGAUAGUUCAGUGGCAGAACGCUUCCAUGGUAAGGAAGAGGCCGCGAGUUCAAAUCUCGCUCCUAGCUCUA